rnacentral:rRNA from 1 species
GACGAACGCUGGCGGCGUGCUUAACACAUGCAAGUCGAACGGAAAGGCCCUGCUUUUGUGGGGUGCUCGAGUGGCGAACGGGUGAGUAACACGUGAGUAACCUGCCCUUGACUUUGUGAUAACUUCAGGAAACUGGGGCUAAUACCGGAUAGGAGCUCCUGCUGCAUGGUGGGGGUUGGAAAGUUUCGGCGGUUGGGGAUGGACUCGCGGCUUAUCAGCUUGUUGGUGGGGUAGUGGCUUACCAAGGCUUUGACGGGUAGCCGGCCUGAGAGGGUGACCGGCCACAUUGGGACUGAGAUACGGCCCAGACUCCUAAGGGAGGCAGCAGUGGGGAAUAUUGCACAAUGGGCGGAAGCCUGAUGCAGCAACGCCGCGUGCGGGAUGACGGCCUUCGGGUUGUAAACCGCUUUCGCCUGUGACGAAGCGUGAGUGACGGUAAUGGGUAAAGAAGCACCGGCUAACUACGUG